rnacentral:rRNA from 1 species
GACGAACGCUGGCGGCGUGCCUAAUACAUGCAAGUCGAGCGAAGUUUUUCUGGUGCUUGCACUAGAAAAACUUAGCGGCGAACGGGUGAGUAACACGUAAAGAACCUGCCUCAUAGACUGGGACAACUAUUGGAAACGAUAGCUAAUACCGGAUAACAGUAUUUCUCGCAUGAGAGAUAUUUAAAAGUUGGUUAUGCUAACACUAUGAGAUGGCUUUGCGGUGCAUUAGCUAGUUGGUGGGGUAAAGGCCCACCAAGGCGACGAUGCAUAGCCGACCUGAGAGGGUGAUCGACCACACUGGGACUGAGACACGGCCCAGACUCCUACGGGAGGCAGCAGUAGGGAAUCUUCCGCAAUGGGCGAAAGCCUGACGGAGCAACGCCGCGUGAGUGAAGAAGGAUUUCGGUUCGUAAAGCUCUGUUGUUAGGGAAGAAUGGAUAUGUAGUAACUAUACAUGUAAGAGACGGUACCUAACCAGAAAGCCACGGCUAACUACGUG